UACGGAGGGUGCAAACGUUGCUCGGAAUCAUUGGGCGUAAAGCGCACGUAGGCGGACCGCUAAGUCGGAUGUGAAAGCCCUCGGCUUAACCGAGGAAGUGCAUUCGAAACUGACAGUCUUGAGUAUGGAAGAGGGUCGCGGAAUUCCCGGUGUAGAGGUGAAAUUCGUAGAUAUCGGGAGGAACACCAGUGGCGAAGGCGGCGACCUGGGCCAAUACUGACGCUGAGGUGCGAAAGCGUGGGGAGCAAACAGGG
rnacentral:rRNA from 1 species